CAGCCGCCGCGGUAAUACGUAGGUCCCGAGCGUUGUCCGGAUUUAUUGGGCGUAAAGCGAGCGCAGGCGGUUAGAUAAGUCUGAAGUUAAAGGCUGUGGCUUAACCAUAGUACGCUUUGGAAACUGUUUAACUUGAGUGCAGAAGGGGAGAGUGGAAUUCCAUGUGUAGCGGUGAAAUGCGUAGAUAUAUGGAGGAACACCGGUGGCGAAAGCGGCUCUCUGGUCUGUAACUGACGCUGAGGAGCGAAAGCGUGGGGAGCGAACAGGAUUAGAUACCCGAGUAGUCCCUGUCUCUUAUACC
rnacentral:rRNA from 1 species